rnacentral:lncRNA from 1 species
CUGAGCUGUUAUAAAGGCUUUUUAAAACUCAGCUGUGCUGACCACGCAUUGUAUGAGAGCACAGAGUUGAUGGUCUACAUGAAUGCAAUGCUUGAGGAUUCCUAGUUGAACAAGAAGAUUUUUGCGUUAAAGAAAGUAACAGAAUGACUGUUCUAUGGUUUCAUUCUUAUGGUAGUGCUCUUGCAUUGAUAUAACUCCAGGGAAUGGGUUUGCAGCAACUUUAAGAAACAGAGUGAACUAUUUGAAAGGGUUGAACCCUUUGAAAAGGGAUCUUUGCAGUUGGUCUAGUCAUUUUUAUUAUAAAACAUGGAGGAAUAACAUGCUGGAAGUUGGAUGAACUGAGUCAUAACACCAAAAGAACAUUUUCAAAAGCAAUUGAUCUCACUAACUGCUAUCUCUGAACCACUUGCUUUGCAAGCAAGCUCACUAUGGAGCCCACAGAUGUGUGAACAAAUGGGAUGUCACCAGAGCCACAGAUUCUCAGGGGAAUAUGACUAGAAAGGGAAGCAGGAGAGUUCUGAAGCACAAUGCUGGAGGCUGGAAAACAAUUUCACCUUCACUAUCACUCCCAUUCAGAUUUGGAUCUCAUUCCUGGUCCUGCAGUCCACCAGCAAAACUGCAGGGCAGAGCUUCCUCUCACAGCAUGUGAGUAAAGCUGUGAGCCUCUCCCCAGGCACCAGCCUGCAGAGCACUGCCUGGACAGGCUGCUCUGGUGGGCAAAUCUCUGCAUGGCACCCCCAGCAAGUCACAGCCCAAACACUUUGCUCACCUGGGGCGUGUGCAGGGAGGUGUUUGCCUUCCCUGGCACCACACAGAGGGAAGCUGGAUUUCCAUGACAACUGUAAACAAAAUCACACUGGAAUCUAUUUCAUCUGGGUUUCUGCACACAGAAUGGGACCUGGUGUCCCUCCUUUGUUCACAUUUCACAGCAGUAGGUAUUUGGAACAAGGAUGUUUUAUUAACUUAAAUAAUACUUUGCGUUUCGUUGAGUGCCAGGUUCUCAGUGGACGAGCAAGCUGAAUGAGAAGCAAUUGCUCUGAAAAUGGUGACAGCAAGAAGGCAUGAGUCCCAUUUAAUACAAUUUUAACAGCAUGACUUGUUAAUCACAAUACAACAAAAGCAGUUGUGGACUAUUUAAGCCUCAACCUUUUCCCUACAUGAGGAUGGUAUACCAAAACAUUUGUGUCUUUCUACACCAAGAGAAGAAAGGCCCUUCUCACGUGAAUUUAUAAUAUUCAGUAUGGGCUUCUUUUAAACUUUCCUGUUGUUGGCUUUUUUCCUCCCUCUACUUGGAUCCUUUAAAGAUCUGUAAUUUAUUAGAGGCUUCCUCUUCCUUCCUGUACCUUUCUGCUCUGGAUGCUCUAUUUAUAGGUUUUUGAAGC